rnacentral:lncRNA from 1 species
GGGUGGGGAGGCCUGCGGGGCGACGCCCGGGGCGCCGGACAUCUGUCUGAGAAGUUCAGCAGAGAAGGGCGGUUGACGGUCUUUAGGGAUAGCUUUUGCCCUCCUGUCGGUUCACAACAGCUCCAAAGGCGGAGAGUAAAAUCCUUCCUCUCCCGGCCUCGGCGCUUCGCGAAGCCGGGGAGAUGGAGCUCGAGUCCGGUCCGGGUCCGCGCAGCCAGCGGCAGUCCCAGCCGCAACCUUUUCCUAACGCUUCCUGGAAGCUUAAAAGUAUAUGGGUGUACAUAUGUUCCCCCACAUAUAUAUACCUAUGGCUGAUUCAUAUUGAUGUAUGUCAGAGGCCAAGACAAUAUUGUAAAGCAAUUAUCCUCUAAUUAAAAAAAUAACUAUAUGGGUGGAGGGUGAGACAUGGGUCGUUUGAUAAUCUGGUGAAAUUAAGGGAACUAAAGCUCGGCAAACAAUUUCCAACCUGUGGGAGUGAAUGCUCAGUGUUCAGUUGAAAUACAACUCGAGUUUUUAAAGCAUGGUGUGGUUUGUAACAGCUGAAGGGCUCGCAGUGUUUUCUCUUAAAAGUUACCCAUUUGUACUGAUUACUCUUUCCUAAUUUGUACCAAAACCAAGGACCCACGCUCACCGCCGCCAGAAAGUCACCCGAAGAGGGAAGGCUCUCGCCUGAAGUGGGGGUGAAAACGAACAUGCUUACUAUUUGCGACUUCACUGGGAGUCAGAAUAGUAACUAAGUUUUUUGGAAACCUGUUAGAUCCGUUGUUGUUGUUGUUGUUGUUGUUAUUGUUUAGUAGCUAAGUCGUAGUGGACUCUGGAACCCCAUGGACUGUAGCCUGUCAGGCUCCUCUGUCCAUGGGAUGUCCCAGGCAAGAAUACUGGAGUGGGCUGCCAUUCCCUUCCCCAGGGGAUCUUCGCUGCCCAGAGAUUGAACUCCUGGUUUCUGCCUUCUGGUCUGGUUUCUCCCUUUGGUCUCUCCUUCUGGUUUCUGCCGUUGCCAGGAAGAGUGAGCUUCCCUUGUGGCUCAGCUGGUAAAGAAUCCGCCCGCAGUGCAGAAGACCUGGGUUUGAUCCCUAGGUUGGGAAGAUCCUCUGGAGAAAGGAAAGGCUACCCACUCCAGUAUUCUGGCCUGGAGAAUUGCAUGGGCUGUAUAGUCCAUGGGGUCCCAAAGAGUCGGAUACGACUGAGUGGCUUUCACUUUUCACUUUCACGAGGAAGACUAGUAAAACCUGAGCUUGAGUUCUAGGACUUUUAGGAAAUAUUGGUAUCUCCCAUAUGUUUGCUGUAAUGUAGUAAAGACAAUCAUUAGGCAAUAGCAGGGAUCAAAUUACAGUGAAUAAAAAUAGUCGUAAAUAGGUUCCUAAUUAUAAUAUUACAAUUAGUGUCUGGAGCCGAAAUCCCAGGCCCCCGCAUAUGAUUUGCAUAAUUGCAUGCCUGUGGGAGGGAUUAGACCUUCCUCUGUUAUUUGUUGAUUCUUACUGAAUAUGGAACAAUAAAAAAUGAAUUAAGUCUUCCUUAUCAUCUUUAUUAUUCUUAUUUAGACUAAAAGACAGCCACUUUUAUCCCAGAGUAAUUGUAGAUCCAAGAAAAGUCAAUUACAGAAACUAGAACUGAAGGCUGAGGGAGAGAGGCUGCUGGAAAGAACAUGUAAGCAGACAAAUCUGGUUUUAGAUCUUAGCUCCUGAAUAACAUAAUGAUAGAAUCUGGGAGAAGCUUCUUCCUUUAAGCCAGGAGCUGAGCAUUAGAACAGUGUUUUGUGGUGGGUUUUCCAGGCAAGAAUACUGGAGUGGGUUGCCAUGCCCUCCCUCCUCCAGGGAAUCUUCCCAACCCAGAGAUUGAACCCACAUCUCCUGCACUGCAGGCGGACCUUCUGAGCCACCAGGGAAGCCCAAGAAUACUGGAGUGGGUAGUCCAUCCCUUCUCCAGGGGAUCUUCUUAACCCAGGAAUUGAACCAGGGUCUCCUGCAUUGCAGGUAGAUUCUUUACCAGCUGAACUACCAGGGAAGCCCUCAUUUGUAUAGUAGUUUUCUUAUAAUCUGACCUUGUGAAAGGUGUACCAUAUUUAAGUAUUAUAUAUAGGAAGUCAUUUGAGAAAUAAUCUCAUUCUUCAAGGCAUGAUAUUGCAUCUGUACACUGAGGUCCAUUAAUUGCCAACCAAAGCAAUGUUAAUGUGUAUUAUCUGCCCCGCUUUAUGCCGUGUAUUCUGCAUAAAAAUUUUACCAUAAAUGAAUUCUUGUAAUCUGUCAAUAGUUUUAAAAAUGUUCCUUUAUGCCUACAAAUAUUUAUUGAGUGACUACUGUGUGCCAGGCACUAUAUUAGGUUCUGAAGAUACAACUCUCCUCAACAUAGAUAAAGCCCGUGCUCACAUAGAGUUUAUAUUUAGGAGCAAGAAAAAAAACAGAAUCAACAUUCCAAUACAAAUAAAAUGAUUGUAAUUGCU